UUAUGAUCCCGAUCCAACUACUCAAAACGCAACCCGGGCGCUUUCACCUCAGAGUAUCCCGUCUCGUCUCUUCCGAUCCUCACCGGCAACUGCGGCGCUUAAACCCUAAUCCCUAGGUCUAUGAGGUUUCGUACAUCUUGAUCAGGGUGACUUGAGAUCCUUGUUUGAUAAAUUGCACCGGCUGAACAGUUGGUUGGUCUUUUGGUUACCUGACCCAUCCUGCAGUAUGCCUGCAAUCAAAAGAUUAUAUGAUGCCUGUAAAAUGUCGUUCUCUGAUAAUGGACCCAUAUCUGCCGAAGCUCUUGAACAUGUGCGGUCUGUUUUAGAUGAUAUUAAACCUUCUGAUGUGGGACUUGAACAUGAGGCUCAGAUAGCACGAGGAUGGAAAGUUUCCAUGCAUGGUACAAAUGGGAGAAAAGGGCGUAAUGGGAGUAACCAAUAUCCACCUCCUAUCAAAUAUCUACAUAUACAUGAGUGUGAAAGCUUUUCUAUUGGGAUAUUUUGCAUGCCACCUUCAUCGGUUAUUCCACUUCAUAACCAUCCAGGAAUGACUGUGCUGAGCAAGCUUCUAUAUGGGACAAUGCUUGUCAAAUCAUAUGACUGGAUUGAUACAGAAGAACCCAUCGAUCCAUCCAAAGCUAGACCAGCAAAGCUUGUUAGAGAUGAUCAAAUGACUGCACCUUGUGGGACAACAAUCCUUUAUCCUACAAGUGGUGGCAACAUUCAUUCUUUCAAGGCAAUAACUCCUUGUGCUCUCUUCGAUGUUCUAUCACCCCCAUACUCAUCAAAAGAUGGGCGACAUUGCUCUUAUUUCAAGAAGUCAAGAAAAGAUUCAUCCGGUGUUUUGCCUAGUGGAAUAAAGGCUUCAGAUGUGAUUUGGUUGGAAGAGUGUCAACCACCGGAAAGUUUUAUCGUCAGAAGAGGGCCGUACAAGGGCCAGAUCGUCAAUAGUUGAUGAUAUCAGUCCACUGUAAUAUAAUUCAGAGUGGCUCCUUUAGCAGGGGGAGGGAAGCAUUGGCUGUGGAUCUCUUUAGUUGCUGUCAUAUGAUUUUUUUCUGAAGCUUUUUUUUUUCCCAAAAUAAUGACUCCUAAUGUAUAUUGUAGUCAGGAAGCUUGUUGUACAUCACUAGAUAUCUGGUAUAAUUUUUCUUGUUCAAAAUGCAUGAAGCACAAAAGGUGAUACGUAUGGUUUUAUCUGCUGAUCAUCCCUAGUAUUUUGAUCAGGAUCUCAAAUCUCUGUGACAAUGCAGCGGAUCUUAGCUACAUUGUGAUGGAUUGUUGACGGAACACAAUUAACAUCUGCAAGCAGCUUCCGUGGAGUUUUUUCUCUUGAAGAAAUGACAAGCCUUCUGCUUUGCCUUUCUGACCUAUAUAUAGGUCAUGUGGUUAAUGGCAUGAAAUAGUAACUUAUCCGUUAUUGUGUUGGUAUAUAUUUAUCCGUUAUUCUUUUCCA